rnacentral:rRNA from 1 species
AUUGAACGCUGGCGGCAUGCCUUGCACAUGCAAGUCGAACGGCAGCACGGGAGCAAUCCUGGUGGCGAGUGGCGAACGGGUGAGUAAAGUAUCGGAACGUGCCCAGUCGUGGGGGAUAACGUAGCGAAAGUUACGCUAAUACCGCAUACGAACUAUGGAUGAAAGCGGGGGAUCGCAAGACCUCGCGCGAUUGGAGCGGCCGAUAUCAGAUUAGGUAGUUGGUGGGGUAAAGGCUCACCAAGCCGACGAUCUGUAGCUGGUCUGAGAGGACGACCAGCCACACUGGGACUGAGACACGGCCCAGACUCCUACGGGAGGCAGCAAUGGGGAAUUUUGGACAAUGGGCGCAAGCCUGAUCCAGCCAUGCCGCGUGCAGGAUGAAGGCCUUCGGGUUGUAAACUGCUUUUGUACGGAACGAAAAGGUUUGACUUAAUACGUUGGACUCAUGACGGUACCGUAAGAAUAAGCACCGGCUAACUACGUGCCAGCAGCCGCCGUAA